UGGGAAAGCUGGAUUAAGAUUUAUGAGCCUCUCAAAGCUCUGUUCCAUGGUUCUACCUCUCACCUGCUAAGACCUGACGCAUUGUUUUGAAAGGACUCGAUUUUGCAGCAUGGAAUCAACUGUGCUGUGCGGUGGCACAAAUGUUAUUUGCCUCUUCUUCAGCCAGCAGGAAAUCCCUGGAGAGGGUGCUCUACCAAAGGAGAAGCAAUGAAAUAACAGAUACUUUUUAUCACAG
rnacentral:lncRNA from 1 species